rnacentral:rRNA from 1 species
UACGUAGGUGGCAAGCGUUAUCCGGAAUUAUUGGGCGUAAAGGGUGCGUAGGCGGUUUAUUAAGUCUAUGGUGAAAGUGCGGGGCUCAACCCCGUAUGGCCAUAGAAACUAGUAGACUUGAGUGCAGGAGAGGGCAAUGGAAUUCCAUGUGUAGCGGUAAAAUGCGUAGAUAUAUGGAGGAACACCAGUGGCGAAGGCGGUUGCCUGGCCUGUAACUGACGCUGAGGCACGAAAGCGUGGGGAGCAAAUAGGAUUAGAUACCCUAGUAGUCCACGCUGUAAACGAUGAAUACUAAGUGUUGGAGAAAUUCAGUGCUGCAGUUAACGCAAUAAGUAUUCCGCCUGGGGAGUAUGCACGCAAGUGUGAA